CGACGUUUCUUCUGAGUGGCACAAGCAAAUAAUUAAAACUUUUAACAACGGAUCUCUUGGUUCUGGCAUCGAUGAAGAACGCAGCGAAAUGCGAUAAGUAAUGUGAAUUGCAGAAUUCAGUGAAUCAUCGAAUCUUUGAACGCACAUUGCGCUCGCCAGCAUUCUGGCGAGCAUGCCUGUUCGAGCGUCAUUUCAACCCUCAAGCUCCGCUUGGUUUUGGGGCCCCACGGCYGACGUGGGCCCUUAAAGGUAGUGGCGGACCCUCCCGGAGCCUCCUUUGCGUAGUAACUAACGUYUYGCCMUGGGAUYCGGAGGGACUUCUUGCCGUUAAACCCCCMAAUUCUUYACAGGUUGACCUCGGAUCAGGUAGGAAUACCCGCUGAACUUAAGCAUAUCAAUAAGCGGAGGAAAAGAAACCAACAGGGAUUGCCYCAGUAACGGCGAGUGAAGCGGCAACAGCUCAAAUUUGAAAUCUGGCCCCAGGCCCGAGUUGUAAUUUGCAGAGGAUGCUUUUGGCGCGGUGCCUUCCGAGUUCCCUGGAACGGGACGCCAUAGAGGGUGAGAGCCCCGUACGGUUGGACACCAAGCCUUUGUAAAGCUCCUUCGACGAGUCGAGUAGUUUGGGAAUGCUGCUCUAAAUGGGAGGUACAUUUCUUCUAAAGCUAAAUAYYGGCCAGAGACCGAUAGCGCACAAGUAGAGUGAUCGAAAGAUGAAAAGCACUUUGAAAAGAGGGUUAAACAGCACGUGAAAUUGUUAAAAGGGAAGCGCUUGUGACCAGACUUGCGUCCGGUGAAUCACCCAGCUCUCGCGGCUGGGGCACUUCGCCGGCWCAGGCCAGCAUCAGCUYGCCGUCGGGGACAAAAGCUUCAGGAACGUAGCUCUUYUCGGGGAGUGUUAUAGCCUGUUGYAUAAUACCCUUCGGCGGGCUGAGGUACGCG
rnacentral:misc_RNA from 1 species